rnacentral:rRNA from 1 species
UAAACAAACCCGGAAAUAGCUGGUUCUCCCCGAAAACUAUUUAGGUAGUGCCUCAUGUAUCACUCUCGGGGGUAGAGCACUGUAAUGGUUGGGGGGGUCAUUGCGAUCUACCCCGCCAUAGCAAACUCCGAAUACCGAGAAGUGCGAGCAUGGGAGACAGACGGUGGGUGCUAACGUCCAUCGUCAAGAGGGAAACAACCCAGACCGCCAGCUAAGGCCCCCAAUGCGUGGCUAAGUGGAAAACGAGGUGGGAAGGCAUAGACAGCCAGGAGGUUGGCUUAGAAGCAGCCAUCCUUUAAAGAAAGCGUAAUAGCUCACUGGUCGAGUCGUCCUGCGCGGAAGAUGUAACGGGGCUCAAGCCAGUUACCGAAGCUGCGGAUAUGCAAUUUAUUGCAUAUGGUAGGAGAGCGUUCUGUAAGCCUGCGAAGGUGUCUUGUAAAGGAUGCUGGAGGUAUCAGAAGUGCGAAUGCUGACAUGAGUAACGAUUAACCGGGUGAAAAACCCGGUCGCCGUAAGCCCAAGGGUUCCAGCGCAACGAUUUUCGGCGCUGGGUGAGUCGGAUCCUAAGGCGAGGCCGAGAGGCGUAGUCGAUGGCGAACUGGUUAAUAUUCCAGUACUUCCUUGCAAUGCGAUGGGAGGACGGAGAAGGUUAGGUGGUCCACCUGUUGGAUGGUGGUUUAAGCGUUUAGGAGUGCGCUCUAGGCAAAUCCGGAGCGAUUAUCUGAGACGUGAUGACGAGGCUCUACGAGCCGAAGCCGCUGAUACCCUGCUUCCAAGAAAAGUCCCUAAGCUUCAGUUGCAAGAAUCCGUACCCGAAACCGACACAGGUGGUCAGGUAGAGAAUACCAAGGCGCUUGAGAGAACUCUGCUGAAGGAACUAGGCAAAAUGGUACCGUAACUUCGGGAGAAGGUACGCUGCCGAUGGUGAGUAGUCACGCACUACAAAGCUAUUGGCAGUCGCAGAUACCAGGCCGCUGCAACUGUUUAUUAAAAACACAGCACUCUGCAAACACGAAAGUGGACGUAUAGGGUGUGAUGCCUGCCCGGUGCUGGAAGGUUAAUUGAUGGGGUUAGCGUAAGCGAAGCUCUUGAUCGAAGCCCCAGUAAACGGCGGCCGUAACUAUAACGGUCCUAAGGUAGCGAAAUUCCUUGUCGGGUAAGUUCCGACCUGCACGAAUGGCGUAACGACGGCCACACUGUCUCCUCCCGAGACUCAGCGAAGUUGAAAUGUUUGUGAAGAUGCAAUCUCCCCGCGGCUAGACGGAAAGACCCCAUGAACCUUUACUGUAGCUUUGCAUUGGACUUUGACGGGACUUGUGUAGGAUAGGUGGGAGGCUGUGAGACGUGGUCGCCAGAUCACGAGGAGCCAUCCUUGAAAUACCACCCUGGUGUCGUUGAGGUUCUAACCUAG